rnacentral:rRNA from 1 species
GAAGCUGGUGAGGGCCGCAGAGACCAGGUGGCUGCGACUGUUUAUUAAAAACACAGCACUCUGCAAAUUCGAAAGAAGACGUAUAGGGUGUGACGCCUGCCCGGUGCCGGAAGGUUAAUUGAUGGGGUUAUCUUCGGAGAAGCUCUUGAUCGAAGCCCCGGUAAACGGCGGCCGUAACUAUAACGGUCCUAAGGUAGCGAAAUUCCUUGUCGGGUAAGUUCCGACCUGCACGAAUGGCGUAACGAUGGCCACGCUGUCUCCACCCGAGACUCAGUGAAAUUGAAAUCGCUGUGAAGAUGCAGUGUACCCGCGGCUAGACGGAAAGACCCCGUGAACCUUUACUACAGCUUUGCACUGGACUUUGAUGAUAACUGUGUAGGAUAGGUGGGAGGCUAUGAAGUGCGGACGCCAGUUCGCAUGGAGCCGACCUUGAAAUACCACCCUGUUAUUAUUGAGGUUCUAACUUGGACCAGUAAUCCUGGUUGAGGACAGUGUAUGGUGGGUAGUUUGACUGGGGCGGUCUCCUCCCAAAGAGUAACGGAGGAGCACAAAGGUACCCUCGGUACGGUCGGACAUCGUACCAAGAGUGUAAAGGCAAAAGGGUGCUUGACUGCGAGAGUGACGGCUCGAGCAGGUACGAAAGUAGGUCUUAGUGAUCCGGUGGUUCUGAAUGGAAGGGCCAUCGCUCAACGGAUAAAAGGUACUCCGGGGAUAACAGGCUGAUACCGCCCAAGAGUUCAUAUCGACGGCGGUGUUUGGCACCUCGAUGUCGGCUCAUCACAUCCUGGGGCUGAAGCAGGUCCCAAGGGUAUGGCUGUUCGCCAUUUAAAGUGGUACGCGAGCUGGGUUUAGAACGUCGUGAGACAGUUCGGUCCCUAUCUGCCGUGGGCGUAGGAAAAUUGAGAGGAGCUGCUCCUAGUACGAGAGGACCGGAGUGGACGAACCUCUGGUGUACCGGUUGUGACGCCAGUUGCAUUGCCGGGUAGCUAAGUUCGGACGGGAUAACCGCUGAAAGCAUCUAAGCGGGAAGCCUCCCUCAAGAUGAGUUUUCCCAUGAAGCCCGUUGAAGACUACGACGUUGAUAGGCGAGGUGUGGAAGCGCAGUAAUGUGUGAAGCUAACUCGUACUAAUUGGCUGAUUGUCUUGACCAUAUAACCUGAAUUGCUUCGGGGGUUAUGGUAAGCAAAGAUUAAAAACUAGUGAAGCCGAAAGGCACUUGUGUUACCCUUAAAUUCUUUACCAGCCU